UGGGGAAUAUUGCACAAUGGGCGCAAGCCUGAUGCAGCAACGCCGCGUGAACGAUGAAGGUCUUCGGAUCGUAAAGUUCUGUUGCAGGGGAAGAUAAUGACGGUACCCUGUGAGGAAGCCCCGGCUAACUACGUGCCAGCAGCCGCGGUAAUACGUAGGGGGCUAGCGUUAUCCGGAUUUACUGGGCGUAAAGGGUGCGUAGGUGGUCUUUCAAGUCGGUGGUUAAAGGCUACGGCUCAACCGUAGUUAGCCUCCGAAACUGGAAGACUUGAGUGCAGGAGAGGAAAGUGGAAUUCCCAGGGUAGCGGGGAAUGCGUAGAUAUUGGGAGGAACACCAGUAGCGAAGGCGGCUUUCUGGACUGCAACUGACACUGAGGCACGAAAGCGUGGGUAGCAAACAGG
rnacentral:rRNA from 1 species